AAACGGCUCCAACGAAACUCUCAUCCGACGGAUGAGAGAGCCCUCAUUUCCCCGGCGUCCUCCCAGAUGUAGGAGAGAGAAAGGAGCUCUCUCAUCCACCAACUUCCAUUGCUGCUCCGCCUCCCGCACCGGCGUGGAGCUCUCCCGCCAGGAAGGAACAUGGAAUUCUUCUCGAACCUGUUGGACCAAAAUGGAGUGGGCAGCAGUGCUGAUCUAGAGUGGGAUGGAACCCAAUUUGCAAGUCCACCAGAGGAACAGAUGUUGGGAGAGGAAGCAGUUGUCGAGGUGGAAGCUACUCCUGUGUUGAGAGGUAACAAGAAGAGAACCAGAAACUUUAGUGUGCAAGAGGAUAAUUUGUUAGUGGCAGCAUGGCUAGAAAUUAGAAUGGAUGCAGUUCAAGGCGUUGACCAGCCUCGUGCCAUUUAUUGGGAAAGAAUUCAUGAGUACUAUCAUUUGCACAAGGAAUUUGAUAAUGACCGCAACUGCAAUUCUCUCGCUCACUGUUGGGGUAUUAUCCUAGAAAUGGUCAACAAAUUCUGUGGAUGGUAUGGUCAUGUUCAAAGAAGGGCCCGAAGCGGAACGAUGGAGCAAGAUAAAGUACUGCAAACUUGUGACGUGUUCAAAAACGAGGAAGAGAAAUCAUUCACUUUGCUGCAUCGUUGGAAUAUCUUGAAGCAUGAACAGAAAUGGCAUGAGGCAUGUGCUAAUAAGAACAGGACAUUGUGUGCGCUAUGUGUAAUGCUGAAAGGAAGAGUUCGUCGUCAUCAUCUGACGACGACGAGGAGUCCAAGCGAGACAAAGAACUCAUUUCAGUAGGAGAGGGAAGAAUGAUUUGGUGUGGGAA